rnacentral:lncRNA from 1 species
GUGAAGCUCUUAAAAUGAAACAGGAGUCUCCAAAAUAAUGAGCUACUUUAAGCAAACAUUAUUGAUUGUCAGUGGGAACGUGACUGGCUCAUCAUGUUGCUUCCAUGUUUGUUGUCUAUGUCAGGGAAUGAAUGGUAUGCUCUGCCAAUUACUGACAGUAUAUAAAGGUCCAAGGGAAGGAGAAGACACACACACUUCAGAAACAUCCUCUUGCAGUCCACCUGAAUCCUCUUGCCUUGACAACAUGUGUUGCAACUACUAUGGCAACUCCUGCGUCUAUGGCUAUGGAAACAGCUAUAGCUGUGGGUUCAGCCCCUGUUACGGCUGUGGAAGUAGAUACGGCUGUGGAUAUGGCUCAGGAUAUGGCUGUGGAUACGGGUCAGGAUACGGCUGUGGAUAUGGGACAGGAUAUGGCUGUGGAUAUGGUUCAGGAUACGGCUGUGGAUAUGGGACAGGAUAUGGCUGUGGAUUUGGCCCCUAUUAUGGCUGUGGCUACGGAACCAGGUAUGGCUGUGGAUAUGGCUCUGGCUAUGGCAGCUACUGGCCAGUUUGCUACAGGAGAUGUUAUUCUUCUUGCUGCUAGAACCUCACCAUCUAAGCCCUUUUUGCCUCUGAGAUGAAGCCUCUAAAGAUAAUGCUGAUUCAAGGAUUUAUAACCCACGAUUUCCACUUGCAAGAAAUCACAUGCCUGACAGAGAAUUUGACCUGCAAAUAUCCACUUUAGAUUGGCAUCUUUCAGCCCUGAAGCUUCUUGGUAAUAUCUCUGCCUCUUGUGCAAAUGUUCAUCUUUAUUCUCUGAUUCUCUGUUAUGACUGUAUUGAUGAUCCUAACAAAAUCACUUGUUCUCAAUAAAAAUGAUUCAUUGUUUCUAUCAAAUCUCUGUGUACUUGCUUGUGAAUUACUCUUUUUCCAGGCAUUGUAGACUCAGUUGAAAAUGGGGCAAACAUGAUGCAUGAAGUUUGAGUUCUUCUUUGAUGUAAUGCAAACAUUUCUGUCCAUAUCUGUGUCAGAAAUAGUGUCUUCUCCACCUGUUUCUUGUAUCCCAUGUACUCAGGCCCUCACAUUCCCAAGCACAAGUCUCCCAGUAUUUCAGAACUGUGCUUUGUAAAUCCCACCGUGUCUAGGAUGGAACUAAAGGGGAAAGAGGAGGAAGAAUGCCACUUUAUUGAGGAAGUUGAUGUAAAGUCUAAGGUAGACAAAAGAUGACCUGAGUGCUUAAAAGAAUGGAAGAGACACUUUCCAGGUUCAUGAGAAUUAGAAUUAGAUAUAGGAAUUAAGAACAUGAGAAUAAAGAACUAAGCAACAGAAAAGUAAUACUAGAAAUCUACUCAUUUUGUCUGUUUUGAUGUAAUUGCCUAUGUAUUUGCAUAUACCGAGGUUGAGGAAAUUGAUUUCAAUCACUUAACUGACAGUUUUGAGUAUUUUUGAAAGGGUCUCAAAUUAGACAGUGAAGGCAAUGAAGGUGAAUUAAAGACAAGCCUCUUGCUUUCACAGUGUUUAUAUUCCAGCCCGUGUAUAUAGAAAAACAAACAGAAUAAAUAAUUCAGAUCAUUUGGAACUGACAAUUUUGAGUGAAGGGAAUAAAAUAGGUAAAUGCAAAAGAGAGUAAAAGUUGAAGUAUUAGAAAGCUAGUUCAGGGAGGUAUUUUCAACUUGUGGCAAAUGAGCUGAUGUCAAUUGCAAAGAAAGGGCAGUAGCAAGUGUAAAUGGGAGAAAAUUUAUGAAGUUUUGUAACAAUGUGAUUUGUUAGGCAUGUAUGAGAUAAUUUGCACAUCUAGAAAAGAGUUUUCACAAAAUAACUCAACGUACCUUCAAAAUCUGAAAUGGUACGACUCCCUUAAUCAAAGAACAUUUGAGACACUCAG